rnacentral:rRNA from 1 species
UACGUAGGUGACAAGCGUUAUCCGGAUUUAUUGGGCGUAAAGCGCACGCGGGCGGUCUAUCAAGUCUGACGUGAAAUCUCUCGGCUUAACCGGGAGCGGUCGUUGGAAACUGAUGGACUUGAGGCGAUGAGAGGGGUGUGGAAUUCCCGGUGUAGUGGUGGAAUGCGUAGAUAUCGGGGAGGAACAUCAGUGGCGAAAGCGGCACCCUGGCAUUAGCCUGACGCUCAUGUGCGAAAGCGUGGGGAGCGAACGGG